AAGUUGUUGCGGUUAAAAGCUCGUAGUUCGAGCUCAGUUCCGGACUGGCCGGGGAGGUCACCGCCCGGUGCUUCCCCGUCAGGCUCCGAACAGCCUUCGUGAGCGGAGGCCAAGCCGGUUCUGCCGGGGUGCUCUUUACCGAGUGUCCCGCGCGGCCGGCCAGUUCACCUUGAAUAAAUGAGAGUGCUCAAAGCAGGCUACUCUCGAAUACAAUGCCCGAAUGUUACCUGCAUGGAAUGAUGGAAGAUGAUCUCGGUUCCAUUUUAUUGGUGGUGGGAGCCCGAGGUAAUGAUAAACAGGGACUGUCGGGGGCAUCCGUACUACGACGCGAGAGGUGAAAUUCAGUGACCGUCGUAGGACGAACAACAGCGAAAGCAUUUGCCAAGAAUGUCUUCGUUGAUCAAGAACGAAAGUUAGAGGAUCGAAGGCGAUCAGAUACCGCCCUAGUUCUAACCCUAAACGAUGCUGACUAGCAAUUCGCCGUCGUUAUUCCCAUGACGUGGCGAGACGCCCCCGGGAAACCUCAAGUCUUUGAGUUCCGGGGGUAGUAUGGUUGCAAAACUGAAACUUAAAGGAAUUGACGGAAGGGCACCACCAGGAGUGGAGCCUGCGGCUUAAUUUGACUCAACACGGGAAACCUCACCAGGCCCGGACACCAGAAGGAUUGACAGAUUAAGAGCUCUUUCUCGAUUUGGUGGGUGGUGGUGCAUGGCCGUUCUUAGUUGGUGGAGUGAUUUGUCUGGUUAAUUCCGGUAACGAACGAGACUCUGGCCUACUAAAUAGUCGACGGGCGUUUUGGUGCAUGGGCCCCGUUCGACACAGUCUUCUUAGAGGGAUGAGCAGCGAGUAUAGCUGCAGGAGAUUGAGCAAUAACAGGUCUGUGAUGCCCUUAGAUGUCCUGGGCCGCACGCGCGCUACACUGAAUGGGUUAGCGGGUUGUCCUUCUCCGAGAGGAGCGGGAAAUCGCUUGAAAACCAUUCGUGAUAGGGAUUGGGGCUUGCAAUUGUUUCCCAUGAACGAGGAAUUCCCAGUAAGCGCAAGUCAUCAGCUUGCGUUGAUUAAGUCCCUGCCCUUUGUACACACCGCCCGUCGCUACUACCGAUUGAAUGAUUUAGUGAGGCCUUCGGACUGGCGGUCUUGGACUGGGGCGCCGGCGUCUUCCAGCAAUGGGGACUCGGCGACCCGCCUAGACGGGCCGGAAAGAUGUCCAAACUUGAUCAUUUAGAGGAAGUAAAAGUCGUAACAAGGUUUCCGUAGGUGAAC
rnacentral:rRNA from 1 species